GAUGCCUGAGUGUUGCCGUUCAUGGUUCUCAGCGGCUGUUACCUUUGUGCCUUAUGAGUUUUAUCGUUUCACCUCCAAGAUUCUUCAUAAAGAAACCCCUGGUUCAUAAAUCCCUACGACUGGUUCUUCUGGCUGUUCAAGUCUGUGCUACAACCUGUCCGCCCUCCAAUGAAGUACAACUAACAAACCCUCAUCGCCGCCCAUUCUCUCUGGAUCUCCUGGCUUCAGUUCCAACCCCACCUGGACCCGGCACUCACCCUAGAAACCAAGUUCCAGCACCAGCAGAAUACCUCCCCCUGGUGGAUCAGUUCCAUUUCACUAAAUCCAGAUCUCCAGCUGUCCCAUACCCCGG